GUGUUAAAUACCUGUCAUAAAGCUAGAUAACCGAAUGUAGGAAUGACUUCCGUAAUUAACGUUGACUUAGAAAGAGAGAAGACUCUGUCCUUUACCCAUUAAAGUCCAAGAGUUUCAAUUAGCGCCAUUCUUCCCGAAAAAAGAUGGUGGAAGCAUUGUUCGGAGAAAAAGAGGACGAGGUCAUCGCGCUUCCUCCGCCCUCUCCUCUUUUUUUUUUUUUUUACACCCAGAAGCGAUGGGAUGCCAUCUGCACUGCCCGUGACAGACACUGUGUGCCAUGCCAGGGGGCAAACAAAGGCUUUGGCCCAUCUUCGGAUCCUGGCUGCCAUCUUGGGAGAUGUUGCCGUUGAUAUCUAAAAUGGCUGGGCUGAAGUAAAUGGACACAGAUGACAAGCUGUGGAACCAACACCAGACUGCCCUACAAGUCAUCAGAAUUUGUUUGUUCUUUUCAGAGACGGCGUAUCUUAAAAGAACAAGAUGUUUUUUUAAUGACUCAUUUAUAUUGCACUUUCUUUGGAUGUAUUACAUACAGUAAGAUAUAAU